rnacentral:rRNA from 1 species
CCUACGGGUGGCAGCAGUGAGGAAUAUUGGUCAAUGGCCGCAGGGCUGAACCAGCCAAGUCGCGUGAGGGAUGACGGUCCUAUGGAUUGUAAACCUCUUUUGUCAGGGAGCAAAGGGCGCCACGUGUGGCGUUUCGCGAGUACCUGAAGAAACAGCAUCGGCUAACUCCGUGCCAGCAGCCGCGGUACUACGGUGGAUGCGAGCCUAAUCGGGUUUUAUUGGGUUUAAAGGGUGCGCAGGGGGAAUGUCAAGUCAGCGGUAAAAUUUCGGGGCUCAACCACGUCGUGCCGUUGAAACUGGCGUACUUGAGUGAGCGAGAGGUAUGCGGAAUGCGAGGUGUAGCGGUGAAAUGCAUAGAUAUCACGCAGAACUCCGGUUGCGAAGGCAGCAUUCCGGCGCUCAACUGACGCUCAUGCACGAAAGCGUGGGUAUCGAACAGGAUUAGAUACCCUUGUAGUC